CCUACGGGGGGCUGCAGUGGGGAAUAUUGGACAAUGGGGGCAACCCUGAUCCAGCCAUGCCGCGUGUGUGAAGAAGGCCCUCGGGUUGUAAAGCACUUUCAGUGAGGAAGAACGCCUGGUGGUUAAUACCCAUCAGGAAAGACAUCACUCACAGAAGAAGCACCGGCUAACUCCGUGCCAGCAGCCGCGGUAAUACGGAGGGUGCGAGCGUUAAUCGGAAUUACUGGGCGUAAAGCGCGCGUAGGUGGCUUGAUAAGCCGGUUGUGAAAGCCCCGGGCUCAACCUGGGAACGGCAUCCGGAACUGUCAAGCUAGAGUGCAGGAGAGGAAGGUAGAAUUCCCGGUGUAGCGGUGAAAUGCGUAGAGAUCGGGAGGAAUACCAGUGGCGAAGGCGGCCUUCUAGACUGACACUGACACUGAGGUGCGAAAGCGUGGGUAGCAAACAGGAUUAGAUACCCGAGUAGUC
rnacentral:rRNA from 1 species